AACGCAUAUUGCGCUCUUUGGUAUUCCGAAGAGCAUGCUUGUUUGAGUAUCAGUAAACACCUCAAAGCCUUCAAUUCAGUUUGAAAGCUUUGGACUUGAGCAAUCCCAACAUCAGUCUCGCGACUGACGGAGGGCUGCUUGAAAUGCAGGUGCAGCUGGACAUUCUCCUGAGCUAUAAGCAUAUUUAUUUAGUCCCGUCAAACGGAUUAUUACUUUUGCUGCAGCUAACAUAAAGGGAGUCUGACCGUAUUGGCUGACUGAUGCAGGAUUUCACAAGGGCUGGCAACAGCUUCUUGUAAAACUCGAUCUCAAAUCAAGUAAGACUACCCGCUGAACUUAA
rnacentral:misc_RNA from 1 species